rnacentral:rRNA from 1 species
UAGAUACCCCACUAUGCUUUGCCCUAAACAUUGAUAGUUUUUUACACCCACUAUCCGCCUGGUUACUACGAGCAACAGCUUAAAACCCAAGGACUUGGCGGUGCUUUAGACCCACCUAGAGGAGCCUGUUCUGGAACCGAUGAUCCCCGUUCAACCUCACCUUUUCUUGUUCUCCCCGCCUAUAUACCGCCGUCGUCAGCUUACCCUGUGAAGGACCUUCAGUAAGCACAAUUGGCACAGCCCAAAACGACAGGUCGAGGUGUAGCGUAUGGAAAGGGAAGAAAUGGGCUACAUUCCCUGGUACAGGGAAUUACGAAAAAUACGACUGAAAUGUGUAUCUAGAAGGAGGAUUUAGCAGUAAGUAGAAAGUAGAGUGUUCUACUGAAACUGGCCCUGAAGCGCGUACACACC